ACAAACUGUGUUCUUAUUCUAUGUUUUCCCUGGCUUGAUUUAUUGGUUUUGUUUUACUGUAUAGUGGAUAGGAAGUGUUUCUUUUAGUAGUUGAUAUACUGUUAUGUUUUCCGCAGAUAAUGUGAGGAAAAUUUAUUAUUUGAAGGUCCAUGAUACAAAAUUUUUGACUACCAAAGACAAAUCCACAAUCCUCUCAACCCUCGCUACAGAACUCUCUCAAUUACCAUUGUUGGAAAAGACAAAUCCACAAUCCUCUCAACCCUCGCUACAGAACUCUCUCAAUUACCAUUGUUGGGCCCAGACGAUGCUCUAUUGCUUCUCUACUCCUGGGCUUUUAGACAGAAAUUUUAAGCGCUACGGAUGCAAAUAUAGUAAAGGCGGAAGUGUAGGUGCAAGCAGAAUGUGACGGUCUGCCACUUGCUCUCAAGGUGAUUGGGAGCUCUUCGCAUGGGGAACCCCAAGAGGAUUGAAGAAGAGCAAAAACCAAGAUUUGUAGAGGAGAAAACACAUCAGAUUGUCACAGAGAAAGGCUAUGUAGAUUGAUACAGACCAGUAUUGACUCCUUAGAUGAUGCAACUAAUGAAUGUUUCUUAGAAUUGGUGUUAUUUUUAGAGGACAAGAAAAUCUGUGGUGAUUCACUAUUGGAUAUUUGUGUUUAUGUUCGAAACCUGCGAAGGUGUGAUGCUUUUGGUAUCUUAUCUGAACUUGCAAGGGCAAACCUGUUAAAUUUAAGUAGCAAUAUAAGAGGAACUACAACAAUCCCAUAUGAAAAUGCCUCGGAGCUAUACUUCUCUCAGCACGAUGUAAUGCCAGAUUUGACCUUUUUAUUUGGCAUACCAAGAAAAUGUAGUCGACAGCAAGAGGUUGGGUAAAGGGAGUUGCUUAAUGAUCGUGCAUUUGAUACUUAAAUACUCUCCACUCCCACUGAACCUAUGGAGGAAAUCACUGGCAUGAUAUGAAUUUCCCUGAGACAAAGGCUCUGUUACUCCUUUGUGGGAUAGAAGACUUUCUUGAGUCUUCCCCCAUAUUUGAAAUCCAUUAAAAAACUUAUUUAUUUUAUGGUAUUAAUUUGUGAUACAAAGAAGGCAACAGUGAAAGGGCUAGAUGGCUUAGCUUUAAUUUGGAGAUAUUGAUUUCACCCCUUGUUGAAAAUGAGAGUUAUGAAGAAUACAGAGCUUGGAGAAAAUAUCUUUGAGCUCAUGUGAAGGAUUUGGAAAUAUAUACACAUUCAACACAAGCAAUCUUAUAUCAGAUCAAAGCAGCCAGUUUGAAGAGUUGGCCCUUGAUAUCUUGACUAUGUCCUCCUCUCUGUCAUGGUCUAUUACCAAUGGCUCAGCACAAAAAGCCGUCAUGUAAACACUGACACUAUGUGCUUAAUGUGCUGGCAGUUUACAGUGGAGGUGUGCUUCCACAAUUUUAACUCUAAGCUCUAGAUUAGAAAUUUUCUUGGCAAGCAACCACUUUCCCAAUUUUCUCAUCACAUACAACAAGCUUCAGGGAACUUAGGUUACAAAUAGUUGUAGUUAACCUCAUCAAACGGGAACAUUCUGUUGUAUCAAAUUCCCUCAAUUUCCUGAGUUGUCCUAUUUCCUCUGGAAGUUCUUCCAAACCCUCGCAUACUGAAAUAUCUAGAUAUUCCAACCGUCCAAGUUUUCCAAUUAAUACUGGGAGCUCUUUCAGGACCGGUAAAGUCAAUAAUUUUGAUAUCAUUAGAUAGCUCACAUUUCGAAGAUCAUAUGGUAAAUUCCGAAGCAGAUGUCGUUUGGGGAAAAGCUUAAGGAGCUACCAUGUUCUGGUGAACCUGCUGGCUUUUUACAUUACCCUCAGUUCUAUUAAUUACCAUUGUUGGGCCCAAAGGAUGUUCUGUUGCUUUUCUGCUUCUGCAUUUUUGGACAGAUAUCAAGUCUAAGCACUAUUAAUGCAAAUCUCAUAAAGCAGAAAAGGACUAUUUAAAUUGCUGCAGACCAGUAUUGAUUCCUUAGAUUAGUGUUUCUUAGGCUUGGAGUUAUUUCCAGAGGACAAGAAAUUCAGUGGUGAUGCACUAUUAGUUAUUUGGCUUUAUGUUCGAAACCUACAAAGGCAUGACGCUUUUGCUCUUUCAUCUAGAGCUUGCAAGCAAAAACCUGUUAAAUUUAACAGCAUUCUAAGGUAUUGUCUUUCCUUUAAUAUCUUGGAUCUUCUGUUACCAUAUUUUUAAACACUAAGCUGACUUGCUAGCACGAACAGGGGAAGUUAAACAAUCCCAUAUGGAAAAGUCUUGGAACUAUGCUUUUCUUAGCAUGAUGUAAUGUGAGAUCUGUCCUUGUAUUUGGCACACCAAGACGAUGUAGUCAACAGCAAGAGGUUCCUCAUAACAAACAGGGAAUCUGGUUUGUUAGCUGAAGGGGAUUUGCUUAAUAAUAAUGCAUUUGAUACUCAAAUCCUCUCGAUUUUCACCGGUGAGAUAUUUACAAAUGGAUUUCGUCCAAAUAUAUAUGUUUUGGAAAUGCUAACCAUUAUUUUUUAUGUUCACCUGUAAUAUUAAAUUGUGUUUUUUAUGUUCACCUGUAAUAUUAAAUUGUGGUCGAAAUUCAAGAAUUUUUUUCUGUAUAAUAUUGCUUUAUCUUCUUUGUUGUGACAAAAUCUAUAUCGGAUUGACAUUGAAAACUAAUACUAAGUCUUUAAUAUUCUAAUCCCUUGUUCAGUGGGUGAACUCAGCUGUCUAUGUAAAUUAUUCAAACUAUCAUCACUCACUUAACAGUGUCCGCUUGGAGAGGUUGAUUUCACCCAUUGGUGAAAAACUGAGCAUUGAAGCACUGCAGAACUCAAAGAAGCUAUGUUUGAGCUUAUGUGAAGGAUUUGGAAAUAUAUCCACAAUCAUCAACACCCAGCUGCCAGAUUUGAACCUCGACCAUAGCAGUGAUUUGGAGGAGUGACCCCUCAGUAUUUGCAAUAUACCCCCCACCCUUUCAUGCUCUAUUACCAACUUUCGUCUUCUUCAAAAUUUGCCAUAUGAUUUUGAAAAUAUGAGCUGUCUAAGAAUGUCAAGGUUAUUAGCAUUACCACGCCUGGAACAGCUUCCUGUGUCAAUUGGAAAACUUGGACGGUUGGAAUAUCUAGACAUUUCACUAUGUGAGGGCUUGAAAGAACUUACAAAGGAAAUAGAACAACUCAAGAAAUUGAGGGAGCUUGAUAUGAGAGAGUGUUCUCUUUUGAUGAUGUUACCUUCAACUGUCUGUGAACUAAGUUCCCUGAAGCUUGUUACCUGUGAUGAGACAAUUGGGAAGCAGUGGUUGUGGGCCAAGAACAUUUCUAUUUUUGAGCUUAGAGUUGAAAUUGUGAAAGUACAAUUUCCUUUGAAUUGGUUUCAUGAUUGACUUCUUUCUUAUCUUUCAUCUUGAAGGACAAGAUCCAAGGUUCUUGACAUCCAUGUUAAGUUUCAAUACAUUUUGAUACCCACUGGCACAAAUCAAUAUAAGUUCAUGUAUAUUUUCAGCCUAUGAUUAUGAUCAACUUUUGUGGUAUGUUCAGUGUAGUAAACAUUUUGAACUGGUUUGUUCAUGUAUAACAAGACAUUUCUUUCUUUUGUAUAAACCUUGGAGGUGGGAGUAUUCAAAUAUGUGGGAGUUGUCCAGGCUGCA